rnacentral:rRNA from 1 species
UACGAAGGGGGCUAGCGUUGCUCGGAUUGACUGGGCGUAAAGGGCGCGUAGGCGGUUCGUACAGUCAGACGUGAAAUUCCUGGGCUCAACCUGGGGGCUGCGUUUGAUACGUGCGGACUUGAGUGCGGAAGAGGGUCGUGGAAUUCCCAGUGUAGAGGUGAAAUUCGUAGAUAUUGGGAGGAACACCAGUGGCGAAGGCGGCUCACUGGACUGGUACUGACGCUGAUGCGCGAAAGCGUGGGGAGCAAACAGG